rnacentral:rRNA from 1 species
CGCUAGCUACAGGCUUAACACAUGCAAGUCGAGGGGCAGCAUGGUCUUAGCUUGCUAAGGCCGAUGGCGACCGGCGCACGGGUGAGUAACACGUAUCCAACCUGCCGUCUACUCUUGGACAGCCUUCUGAAAGGAAGAUUAAUACAAGAUGGCAUCAUGAGUCCACAUGUUCACAUGAUUAAAGGUAUUCCGGUAGACGAUGGGGAUGCGUUCCAUUAGAUAGUAGGCGGGGUAACGGCCCACCUAGUCUUCGAUGGAUAGGGGUUCUGAGAGGAAGGUCCCCCACAUUGGAACUGAGACACGGUCCAAACUCCUACGGGAGGCAGCAGUGAGGAAUAUUGGUCAAUGGGCGAGAGCCUGAACCAGCCAAGUAGCGUGAAGGAUGACUGCCCUAUGGGUUGUAAACUUCUUUUAUAAAGGAAUAAAGUCGGGUAUGCAUACCCGUUUGCAUGUACUUUAUGAAUAAGGAUCGGCUAACUCCGUGCCAGCAGCCGCGGUAAUACGGAGGAUCCGAGCGUUAUCCGGAUUUAUUGGGUUUAAAGGGAGCGUAGAUGGAUGUUUAAGUCAGUUGUGAAAGUUUGCGGCUCAACCGUAAAAUUGCAGUUGAUACUGGAUAUCUUGAGUGCAGUUGAGGCAGGCGGAAUUCGUGGUGUAGCGGUGAAAUGCUUAGAUAUCACGAAGAACUCCGAUUGCGAAGGCAGCCUGCUAAGCUGCAACUGACAUUGAGGCUCGAAAGUGUGGGUAUCAAACAGGAUUAGAUACCCUGGUAGUCCACACGGUAAACGAUGAAUACUCGCUGUUUGCGAUAUACAGCAAGCGGCCAAGCGAAAGCGUUAAGUAUUCCACCUGGGGAGUACGCCGGCAACGGUGAAACUCAAAGGAAUUGACGGGGGCCCGCACAAGCGGAGGAACAUGUGGUUUAAUUCGAUGAUACGCGAGGAACCUUACCCGGGCUUAAAUUGCAGAUGAAUUACGGUGAAAGCCGUAAGCCGCAAGGCAUCUGUGAAGGUGCUGCAUGGUUGUCGUCAGCUCGUGCCGUGAGGUGUCGGCUUAAGUGCCAUAACGAGCGCAACCCUUGUUGUCAGUUACUAACAGGUCAUGCUGAGGACUCUGACAAGACUGCCAUCGUAAGAUGUGAGGAAGGUGGGGAUGACGUCAAAUCAGCACGGCCCUUACGUCCGGGGCUACACACGUGUUACAAUGGGGGGUACAGAGGGCCGCUACCACGCGAGUGGAUGCCAAUCCCAAAAACCUCUCUCAGUUCGGACUGGAGUCUGCAACCCGACUCCACGAAGCUGGAUUCGCUAGUAAUCGCGCAUCAGCCACAGCGCGGUGAAUACGUUCCCGGGCCUUGUACACACCGCCCGUCAAGCCAUGGGAGCCGGGGGUACCUGAAGUGCGUAACCGCGAGGAGCGCCCUAGGGUAAAACUGGUGACUGGGGCUAAGU